GGCAGCGGUCGUCUAACUGGAAAGACGCUCGAUAGCUAAUCGAGGGAUAGAAGUUCGACUCUUCUUCGCUGCCG
rnacentral:tRNA from 1 species